UCUAUAACUUCCUGAAUUGUCUUCGAAGGCUCACCUAAUUUUGAGUGUCUACAUGUAGGUACACUUUCAACCCCCAUAUUUGUAGUGAUAAUCCAAACUCUGCAUUGACCUUUUAGAUUGACUAUUGUAGUUUUCCCAUUAGGUAGCCGAACUCGACCUACUAGUGGAUUUUGCAAGAAGUUAUAAGACAUGGGUAGACUUGUCUGAGAGAAAACAGGAGGAGGAGGCAUGUCGACAUGUUUUCUUUGUACCGGAGUUAGAUCGAUGGAAAACUUAUUAAUGGCGUUAUAGUCAAGCACUCGCAGAGUGGAAUCUAAUUUUUGAACGAAUGGUGAAUUUUGAGUACUAUACUGGAAAUCAGCCAUAUCUCUGAAUAAGAAAACUUGACGAAUUCUACUGACAUUUUGCACAGAGUUGUCCAUUUUUUUAAUCGUUACUAAUAGGUCAUUUCUGGAUUGCACUCGAGCUUGUACUGGAUGAUGGUAUUUAUCUUUAGGCCUU